rnacentral:rRNA from 1 species
UACGUAGGCGGAAAAUUAAGUCAGUAGUGAAAUCCUGCAGCUUAACUGUAUAACUGUUAUUGAUACUGGUUUUCUUGAAUAUAGUUGAGGUAGGCGGAAUGUGUAAUGUAGCGGUGAAAUGCUUAGAUAUUACACAGAACACCGAUUGCGAAGGCAGCUUACUAAGCUAUGAUUGACGCUGAGGUACGAAAGCGUGGGGAGCGAACAGGAUUAGAUACCCUGGUAGUCC